GCCGGGUGUGGCGGUGUGCACCUGUAGUCCCAGCUACUCUCGGGAGGCUGAGGCAGGAGAAUUGCUUGAACCCGGGAGGCGGAGCUUGCAGUGAGCCGAGAUCGCGCCACUGCACUCCAGCCUGGGUGACAGAGCAAGACUCUGUCUCAA
rnacentral:sRNA from 1 species